UUGAAAUACAGACCAGAGAAUGUAAGGACGUGGUCCACGCGUUGAAAUGGUUAAAACUACAAGACCAGGAAAUGGUAAGACCCUCUGAAUCUCUCGACGAGUGGAAAAGGUGAAGACUAGACCAAAACCAUGCUCCGUCUGCAGCUCUCCAUGUAAAGUAGUCUAGGAUAAUUGACCAAAGAUGGGAGGGAAGAACACAUCCCUCUCACCACCGAGGAGCACACCUCUGAUGUAUCCAUUCUAAGAACACUCUAUGAACAUUCUAUGAACAAUAGAAGCCUACAACUAAGAAGGACAUUGGGACCUCUGGUGGACAACCAGAGACUUGCAUUGAACUACUUCCCAUAGACGGAUCGAGUGGUCUCAACAGAGAGACAACAGAGAAAGACAUCUACGCCGGUUUGUGCCGACAUCGGGGAUUUUGAUUCAUCCUCCUCUCACUGGCAUGACAGUCUUGUUCUAACGCUGGCUGCAGACUCGGAGGCUGCAGACUCUGGGGUUUGCAGACCGGAGAUACUGUUGAAUCUACAGCCUGGGAGGAGAUACACGAGAGACAGAAGACUACCUACCUGCCAACCGUGCUAAUGUUAGCACUCAAAAGGACCAUGAUUAUGAAAUGUUAGUCAUCAUCAUUAGGGUGAUAAAUAUAAACAUUGUCAUUUCCCUGUCACCACCGUGAGUAUCAUGACAAUCUCCAUUGUCGUCAUCAUCGUUAUUAUUCUCUUUUAUAAAUGAUAAUUUUGCAUAUUGCUCCUAGAGAACCAUCCACAUACAGAGCUAAAUAUAUCAAAUAUAAAUAUACCAUGCCUUCAGAAAGUAUUCACACCCCUUUACUUUUUCCACAUAUUGUUGUAUCACACACAGCAUGUAAUAUUUAUGACAUUUAGAUUUUGUGUCCCUGAUUUACACACAAUACCACAUAAUGUCAAAGUGAAAUUGUGUUUCUAGUACAUUUUUGAAAUGUAAUAAAAAGUUCAAAGUUGAAAUGCACCUAAAGAUGGCACCGACAGAGAGGGCUGCCUCGCUUCUAGUUCUUAGGAAACUUUGCAGUAUAGUCACGGAUCCCUCUGGAACUUUCAUUUGCGCACACCUGGCCCCUAUUUGUAUUUAUGUGCCCUUUGUUCACCAUGGUGGGGUUGAUUAUUGUUCCCAUGUCCGUUGGUGGUGUGAGUACCUAUGCGUUGGUGCUUCUGUUAUGCUGCGUGCUAUAUAUAGUGUGUAUUACGGGUGUCGUUCAAUGAGGUUUACCCUCGCUCUUUUGUUUGGGUACAGCCCAGUGUUUUUGUAUACGUGUUUGUUUUGGGUGUAUUAAAAAAAAACAUUGUGUA